rnacentral:sRNA from 1 species
UCCAGAAGCCUCUGCAUCCUCAUUAUGGC